UCCAUGAUUUGUUCUAAAAAUUAAUAAAGAUGAUUUUUGUAUAUUCUUAAAGAGUUAAAAAUUUGAGAUAUACAUUAAUUAAUAGUUAAUUUUUAAAUAUUUUCGAUUAAAAGAUCAUCACGGAGAACAGUGAUCAAUCUAUUUGAGAUCGAUGCACGGUUCACCUCUGUUGUGGGCAGAUGAGUCUUGGAUCUACAGUGUAGAGACACUAGGAUGAAGAUAUAGGUGGUUAUUAGAGAAUAACUUAUACUGAGCGUGACCAAUACGAGAACCAUAUGGUUGUCUAAUCACUCAUCAAUGAUCUUCUCGAUACUGUAGUGGUGUGAGUGGUCCUUUGACCUGCGGUGUCAUUAGCUAUUUGCAGUGAGACUACUGGGUUUGACUGCACGUUCUCUUAGUCCCUAGCCAUUCGGAUCUUUACUGUGUAUGUUGGCUUCAGUAGGUUCAGGUUCGCUGUUUGGAGUAGGAUGCACCUAGAUAGAAUUUAUCAAUCUUGGUAGAAAAGAAGAAGUCGUAUGUGAUUUGUGAGACUGAGUUCAGAAAGUCUUUGACCAAAGUAAGUGUGAAUACUGAAAAAAAAUUUUCAUGAAAUUCAUAAAUGAACUUCAGUCAAGCCAAUCUACUAUAUGACUGACGAUGGGAUCUGAAGAGUUCUCUAUGAUCUCCGUCAAAUCGAGACUCAUGAUAGAAGGACUGAAUCAUAUGAUAACUGCACCUAGAGAUUCAUAUUUUCAUUCUACUGGGUUGCCACUAUAUACUGCUAGGUGUCACUAAUGGAUUGUGAGACUCAUCGGAUGUCAUUUUGAUAAUCGAUGGUCCUUGAAGGGUAGAAUUGAAAAUAUUUUAAUCUAUCGAAAAGAGUUUCGAUGAUAUUGUGAUGGAGAUCACAAUAUAUCUCACUACCAAAUAGAAUAGAAUCUAUGGGGUCCCACAUUAAGGGAUUUAAUCUCGAAUUUAUCAAUUGAGCUUAUAAAAUUCAAAUGGAUUAGGAUUUAUUGAAAUCUUAUUAGGUUUGUGAGAACCAUGCUAGCACAUGAUUAAACCUAAUUCUUCUCAGAAUUUUGAUUUGAUCAAGUCCAUAGCCUUGAACCUAACCUAAAUCUAGUUGGGUUUAAUUAGGCUCUUAAUUAUGAGCCCAAAAAAAUUUGAUUAAGUCAAUUAGUUAGCUUAAUUAUCCGAACAUUAUCUCUUCUUUAUUUCCUAAUUAUCUCUAAGUGUGCAUGUAGAAUAGAUAAAAGAUUGGAUGGUAACUUCCUUCUCUUUUGGUAGGAAUUGGGUGCCAAAACCUUGAGGGGCCCACCCCAUUUUAUAUGGCAUGGCAUGGAGGAGAGAGAGGUGGGGCCACAUCCCAUUCUUAUUUGGAUAGAAACUCUAUUAUGGGGCACCAAGAGUUGGCACCUCAACUACCUGACAUGUAUUAGAUGGGCACCUCUUGUACCUGCUUAAAGAGGCUGAUCAUAUACCAUUUAUAUUUGAUUUUAAUUGAAAUAAAUCAGAUUAAAAAUGUAGAGGAUUUUUAUGAGAUAAUGAUCUACUUUUUUAAAAUAAUUAGAUUCCUAUUAUGUGUCAGGAUAGUGCCUAUAUAAAGGAUAUGUCUUUAGAAUUUCUAGCUAAUUUGAUUUUUGAAAAAAAUCUCUCCCUCUCCCUCUCUUUUCUUCCAUGCCCAAGAGUUGGGCAUCUCCUUUUUCCACAUGCCAAGAAGUGCUGCUUUGUCUUGAAGAAUGAAGAUCGAAGAGAAGAAGAAGGCUGCUGAUCAAGGAGUUGAUCCUGUUUAAGGUGUUGAUCAAAGUGCUCAAGCCUAAGAUUCUUCUUGGGAAGAAGAGUCUUCUACGAGAAAAAAAUAGUUCGAGAUUGAUCCUGAUGGAUAUCCAUAGAGGUCGGACACGUGUGUGGCUCGAGUGUCUACGAAUCCGUGAUUAUCAGAAGCGGUGAAUAUCUACCAGCAUUAAGGUAAUAAGAUAUGAUCUCAUAUUUAUUUCUAAAUUUUAGAUUAUAUAUAUGUAUUUUUUUUUAGGCUUGAGUAGGAUUAGAUUUGAUCUUUUGCAUGUGGGGUUAAAGAGUUUAAUCCGUUUUAUUUUUCACUGCAUAUUUCAAAAAUUUUGAAAUCUACACAUGAUGCCUACCCGAUUUUCUAACAGUGGUAUCAGAGCUAUAAAUUUUUGAAAACAUAUAUGAUCUGAUUUUUUAGAUUAGAUCCAAAAGUUUUAAUGAUUUAAAAUCAAUUUUGUGUUGAUAUAAGGUUGUCCUGGUAUACGGUUCACCUCCUAUAUUGCAAAGGUUGUCCUAGUACAAGAUUGAUCGAUUUUGAAAAUUAUUUUUAAAAUAAUUAAAUUAAAUCUUUUAUAUCUAAAAAUUAGUAUAUGUGAUAUGUUUAAUUUUGUGUUUAGAUCUGAAAUUAGAAUAAUUAAAAGUUCACAACAAAUUGAUAUAAGGUUGUCCUGAUAUAGGGUUUAUCCUCUAUAUUGUAAAAAUGAUUCUAGUUUGAUGCGAAUAGAUUUUUAAAAAGAUAUUUUCAAAAUAUUUUAAUCAUUAUUCUAGAUCUAGUUUUAUAUGUAUUUGAUAUGUAUAAAUUUAGUUUUAAAUCUAAAAUUUAAUGUAUAUGUGAUGCAUAUUUAAUUUAGAUCUGAAACUUCAUAUAUUUGAUAUAUGAAAUUAGGUUUAGAUCUAAAACAAUUUCAAGAUCAUAAGCCACUAAUUGCAUGCAAUAAAAUAUAAUUUAAAAUUAUUUUUAGAUCUAAAUUAUGUUAUUGCAUGUGGAUAUGGAUUGGACAAAUUAGGUCUAGUGAUCAAACUACAAUUAGGGUCUAAUUGAUUAGAUCAGACUAGAACCCAUUUUUGAUUUUGAGUAGUUAAUUGAACCUAAUCAAUGGAUGAUUAGGAUUAGAUCAAAGGGGCUCAAAGUUGAGUUUAGUUGUAGUUGGUCACAUCAAUUCAUAUUUUGAUGUAAAUUGAUUGACUCAAGACCGAAUUUGGCUCAACGAUUCGAGUCCAUUUUAAUAUGUUAAUCUAAUCGAUUAAUUUGAUGUCUAAGGCAAGUAUUUAGAUGGUGGUUAUUUAAUUGAUUCUGUUGUCUGACCUGAUUAAUUUUGAUUGGUAUCUAAGAAAAGCAAUGAAGAGACCCCCAUGCAUCUUAACUAAUUACCUGAUCAUCUUGGAAGAUUCAGUUUCAUGUUAAGUUACUUAUUAACUCGAGUUCACCCAUAUCGACUAGGAUGAUUAGAUAUAUUGAUAUGCUGAUCUAAUUUAAUCAGUCGGAUGUCAGAUCUGCUGAUUUAGAAGAUAUCUAAAUCUAAAUUUUUUCAUUAAAUAUUAAGUUUAAAGGUCUUUCAUUGUUGUAGAGAUACAGGUGCUUUUCUGACGUUGAUCAUUUUCGACUGAUUACAGUAGUUCGGUUGUAUCGAAAAGGUACAAUCACUCUAUUGAUAUUUUAUGUCCCGAGGUAGAGAUGGAAUUGGACUGACCAAUAACUAUUAGGUGAGGGUCCCAAUGAUGGCUUUGCACCCACUAGUGAAUGAUGGAUCUGACUUAACUAAGAAAUGUGCCAAUAAUUGUUAGAUGAGGCCACAAGACUUAGAGACCAAGCCCACUGUAUCUUGCUUAGUGAAGCAAUGGAUAAAGUAUUGUCCACUUAUUGGUUCGUACUCACCAAUAACUAUUAGGUGAGGUGCGUAUAGAUUAAUGGAAUCGCAAUACCUAUUUAAAAUUGAUCGCGUAUAGAUUUCUAUUUCUCUAUUCGAGGAGUGUGGGAGAUUCGAAAAAAUAGUGAGAGCCUUUGUUUAUUUUUUAAGUCUCUAGAAUAAAUAAUCUUAUAAGUACAAAAUCUAACUAGAAAUUAUUCUUUUUACAGAUAACCAUGUCGAAUUCAAACUCCAUAGCCCAAAUCCUCGAUAUAAAUAAGUUGACCGGCACCAAUUACAAAGUCUGGCUUUGAAAUCUGAGAAUUAUUCUCAAUUUUGAAAAACUCACACAUAUCCUUGACCAAAAAGCAUCUGUGUUACUUGCUCAUCCAUCCGCUGAUCAACAAGCUGCACUUGAAAAAUGGAUGGACGAAGAUAACAAGGUAAAGUGCUACAUCUUAGCGUCCAUGUCCAAUGAUCUUCAACAAUAGAAUGAAGAUAUGAGGACUGCCAGAGAAAUGAUGGUUCACCUACAAGAGUUGUAUGGUGAACAGAGUCGCACAGCUCACUUUAAGGUCCCUUAGAGAUUUUUCAGAGUGAAGACGUGUGAUGGGCAAUCUGUCAAUGAUCAUUGUCUGACAAUGAUCAAGAACAUAGAGGAGCUUCAGAAGCUCAGAAUGCACAUAGACAAGGAACUACUGGUGGAUCUGAUCCUCUAGUCUCUUCCUGAUUUAUAUGGACAGUUCAUUAUGAACUACCAUAUGAAUAAAAUUGAUGCUACUUUACCUAAGUUAUUGAAUAUGCUGGUGACUUCAGAGGGCACCUUGAAGAGUUCAAGGGGCACAGUUCUAGUUGUGGAGCGGGCUUCCUCCAAAAGGAAGUCUUCUUCUAAGAAAAAGAAAAAGCUUGCGAAAAAGCAAAAGAACGAGGCCAAGCUCAAGAAACAGGCUCUUAAGAAGGUUGACGAUAAAGAAAAAUAUUUUCAUUGCAAUGUCGAAGGCCACUGGAGGAGGAAUUGUCCGGGCUACCUGGCAACUGUCAAGGGUAGGAAGAAGGAUGGAUCUUUUGAAGGUAUGUCUGAAUUAUUCGUUAUCGAAACUAAUCUAAUGAUUUUCUCUUCUUCUAGUUAGAUUCUAGAUUCUGGUUCAAGUGCUCAUUUGUACACUUCAAUGUAGGAUCUUGAAGAAGAGGGUUGAGGGAAGGCUAGAUCACUCUCUGGAUCGACAAUGGAGCAAUGGUUGCUACUGUAGCCAUCAGAACCUAUCCUCUGUGACUAUCAUUAGGACUUAGUUUGCUUUUGAAAGACUGUUAUUAUGUAUCUGUAAUCAGUAAAAAAUUUGAUUUCUAUCUCUGUGCUGGCACAGGAUAACUAUAAUUUUUAUUUCAAUAAAGACAUAUGUUCAAUUUAUUUCAGAAAUAAAAUUAUUACACGUGCUUUUUUUAUUGACAGUCUUUACUCUUUGCAUACGGAUGUGAGUGUAAACAUUAAUGAGCAAAUAGUGAAUGCUAUAGGGUUUAAGAGGAUUAGCCAAAAGUAUCUAUGGCACCGUAGGCUAGACCAUAUUGGAGAGGACAGACUCAACAAACUGGAGAAAGAUUGUCUUCUCGGACCAUUGACUUUCAAGUCUUAUCCAGUCUGUGAAUCGUAUCUUCAAAAUAAAAAUGAUCAAGCUGUCCUUUGUGGGACAAGAGGAUAGGGCCACUGAGAUAUUAGCCCUGGUAUAUACUGACGUGUGUAGUCUAUUCGAUGUAUAAGUCAGGGGUGGCUAUAUCUACUUCAUAAUCUUUACUGAUGAUUAUUCAUGAUAUGGGUUUGUAUAUUUGAUGCACCGAAAGUCUGAAAUCUUUGAAAAGUUCAUAGAGUUCAGACAUGAAGUAGAAAAACAGACCAAAAAAUUUAUAAAAGUUCUUCGAUUAAAUCGAGGAGGAGAAUACCUUAAUGGAGAAUUUCGGACCUAUCUCAAAGAUAAUGAUAUAGUCUCACAGUGGACACCUUCAGGGACACUUCAACUCAACGGGAUAUCUGAAAGGAGAAAUUGGAUCUUAUUAGAUAUGGUCUGAUCUAUGAUGAGCUUCACAAAUCUUUCUGACUUGCUCUGGAGACAUGCUUUACUUACUGCGAUUCAUCUUUUGAAUCGGGUUCUCUCUAAAUCUAUUCCUACCACACCAUAUGAAUUAUGAUAUGGUAAGAAACCAACUCUUGGGUAUCUCAAGAUUUAGGGAUGUCCGACCCAUGUCAAGCGAUAGCAGACGGACAAGUUAGAAGCUAGAUCCUUUAGGACUCGUUUUAUAGAAUAUCCUAAGAAAAUCAUGAGAUACUACUUUUAUCUUCCUGAAGAUCACAAUGUGAUUGUGAGCCAUUAUGCCGUAUUCUUGAAAAAAGAGUUUAUCCAAAAUGGAGGCAAUGGGAGAAAGAUUGAGCUCGAAGAGAAAGUCUCUGAAGAGCAUCGAGUCCAAGAACCUGAACCCAAUAAUGAGCUAGUAGAUAUGAUACCUCCUUCAUCUCAUAGAUUAAGUAGGGUCUUCUGUCCUCCUGAAAAAUACAUAGAUAUUCUUACAAAGAAUUUAGAGGAAGCAUUCCUUGUGGGAGAUAGAGAUAUUAGGAAUGAUCCUAAAAUCUACGAUGAGACAAUGUUAGAUAUAGACUUCGAGAAAUGGAUGGAUGCGAUGAAGUCAGAAAUUGACUUCAUGCAUUCUAACCAGAUUUGGUACUUAGUAGAUCUACCUGAAGGUAUUGUACUUAUUGAGUGUAAAUGGAUUUACAAAAAGAAGAUUGGAUCAGAUGGUGAGGUAGAGAUCUAUAGGCAAGGCUAGUCGCGAAAGGUUAUAGUCAACGUGAAGGCAUCGACUAUCAUGAAAUCUUUUCAUCCGUAGCCAUGCUGAAAUCUAUCCGUACUCUGUUUGUCAUAACAGUAUUUCAUGAUUAUAAAAUUUGAUGGAUGGAUGUAAAAACUGUCUUCCUAAAUGGAUAUCUGAAGGAAGAUAUCUAUAUAGAGCAGCCUCUGAAUUUCACGUUCAGUGAUAGUGACCACAAGGUCUGCAAGCUGUAAAGGUCUAUAUAUGAACUUCAGCAAGCAUCUCAGAGUUGGAAUACUCGCUUCAAUGAUAUAUUAAAAUGUUUGAUUUCAUAAAAAAUAAGGAGCCGUGCAUGUAUAAAAAAAUUAGUGGGAGUGCUGUCAUAUUCUUCGUAUUAUAUGUAGAUGAUAUCCUCUUGAUUGAAAAUGAUAUUCCCAUGCUGACGUCGGUCAAAGUAUGGUUAUCAAAAGAGUUUACUAUGAAAGACCUAGAAGAAGCUUCCUACAUUCUUGGUAUAAAGGUCUAUAGAGAUAGAUCUAAGAGAAUGAUAGGACUCUCACAAUAUAUGUACAUAGAGGAAGUGCUGAAGAGGUUCAACAUGAAAAAUUUCAAGAUGAAUCUUUGCCCCUUAGACAUGACAUUCAUCUCUCUAAAAAGAUGUACCCUGACACUCCUGAGGAGAUCCAGUGCAUGAGCAAGAUCUUUUACACUUCUACAAUAGAGAGCUUUAUGUAUACCAUAUUAUGUAUAUGUCCUGAUAUAGUACUUGUCGUGAGUGUUACGAGUAGAUAUCAGGCGAAUCUAGGUGAAAAAUACUGGAUUGCUGUUAAAAACAUCCUUAAGUACUUGAGAAGGACUAAGGAUUUGAUGUUGGUCUUUGGUGGAGGAUCGGAGCUGAAAGUAAAGGGAUACACCGAUUCAGACUUUAUGACUGAUGUCGGUGAUAGAAAGUCUACAUCAGAGUGUAUUUUUUUGUGUAAUGGUGGUGCAGUUAGCUGGAAGAAUUUCAAGUAGUCGAUCAUUGUAGAUUUGAUCAUGAAAGUCGAGUAUAUCAUCGCUUCUGAAGCUGCUAAGAAAACUUUUUGGUUCAAGAAAUUUGUUACGGAGCUGGGUGUGAUGCCAUCAGAUGCUAUUGCACUGCACUGUGAUAAUAAUAGCGCCAUAGCCCUCGUUAAGAAGCCAAAAGUCUCACCAGAAGUCCAAACACAUAGAGCAGCGGUUUCACAUCAUACGUGAAUAUCUCGAGAAGAAAUUCAUCGAGGUACAGAGAGUCGACUCUAUGCUGAAUGUGGUAGAUCCACUGACCAAGCCUCUCAGCCAAUAAAAGAUCGAAGGUCACCUUGAGAAGAUGGAUCUUAGGUAUGUGGCCAAUUGACUUUAGAUCAAGUGGGAGUUUGUUAGAUUUAUGUCCUAGAAGUCAAUUGUUGUCUGGCACAUUAUGUAGUUUCAGGGUCUAAAAUUAUACUUGUAAUUUUUUUAUUAUCAAUAAAGAACUUUUUCAUUUCAAUUAUGUUUGUGUCCAUGAUUUAUCCUAAAAAUUAAUAAAGAUAAUUUUUAUAUAUUUUUAAAGAGUUAAAAAUUUGAGUCAUACAUUAAUUAGUGGUUAAUUCUAAAUACUCUCAAUCAAAAGAUCAUCACGGAGGACAGUGAUCAGUCUAUUUGAGAUCGUGCAUGGUUCACCUUUCUUGUGGGCAAAUGAGUCUCGGAUCUGCGGUGUAGAGACACUAGGAUGAAGGUGUGGAUGGUUGUUAGAGAACAACUUGCACUGAACGUGACCAAUAUGAGAACCACAUGAUUGUCUACUCACUCGUCAGUGGUCUUCUCGAUGCUGCAGUGAUAUAAGUGAUCCUUUGACCUACGGUGCCAUUGGCUAUUCGCAGCGAGGCUACUGGAUUUGACUGCACGUUUUCUUGGUCUCUAGCCAUUCAGAUCCUUACUGUGUAUAUUGGCUUCAGUAGGUUCAGAUUCACUGUUUGGAGUAGGAUGCCCUUAGAUAGAAUCUAUCGAUCUUGGUAGAAAAAAAGUUCUUUGUGAUUUGCAAGACUGAGUUCAGAAAGUCUUUGAUCAAAGCAAGUGUGAAGACUGAAAAAAAAAUUUCACGAGAUUUACAAAUGAACUUAAGUCAAGUCAAUCUAGUAUAUGACUGACGAUGGGAUAUGACGAGUUCUCCAUGACCUUCGUUAAGUCAGGACUUACGAUAGAAGGACUGAAUCAUACGAUAACUGUAUCUAGAGAUUAGUACUUUCAUUCUACUGAGUUGCCAUUACAUACUGCUAGGUGUCACUGAUAGAUGGUGAGACUCAUCGAACGUUAUCUUGAUGAUCGAUGGUCCUCGAAGGAUAAAAUUAGAAAUAUUUUAAUCCAUUGAAAAGAGUUUCGAUAAUAUUGUAAUGGAGAUCACAAUAUAUCUUACUACCAGAUAGAAUAGAAUCUAUGAAAUCAUCCAUUAAGGGAUUUAAUCUCAAAUUUGCUAAUUGGACUUAUGAAGUUCAAUUAAGUUAGGGUUUAUUGAAAUCUUAUUAAAUUUGUGAGAACCAUGCUAGUACAUGGUUAAACCUAAUUCUUUUUGAGAC
rnacentral:lncRNA from 1 species